rnacentral:rRNA from 1 species
UUAGGGAAGGCGGCAUUCGGGAAUUUUGGCCAAUGGGGGAAAGCAGAACCCACCAACGCCGCUUAAGGGAUGAAUUAUUUCGGUAUGUAAACCUGGAAAAAAUGGGAAGAAUAAAUGACGGUCCCAUUAAUAAGCUCCGGCUAAUUACGUGCCAGCAGCCGCGGUAAUACGUAGGGAGCAAGCGUUUUUCGGAUUUACUGGGGGUAAAGGGCGCGUAGGGGGCGCGUUAAGUCACUUGUGAAAUAUCUGAGCUUAACUCGGAACGUCCAAGUGAUACUGCUGUGCUAGAGUGCGGAAGAGGCAACCGGAAUUUUUGGUGUAGCGGUGAAAUGCGUAGAUAUCAAGAGGAACACUUGAGGCGAAGGCGGGUUGCUGGGCCGACACUGACGUGAAUGCGCGAAAGCCAGGGGAGCAAACGGGAUUAGAUACCCCGGUAGUCCUAGCCCUAAACGAUGAAUAUUUGGUGUCUGGAGUUUCAAUGCUCUCGGGUGCCGUAGCUAACGC